CUUCGUGGAAAGGAUGAUUCAUUCGGAUCGACAUGAGAGUUCAACUACAUUGCCAGAAUCCAUGUUGUAUAUUUGAAAGAGGUUGACCUCCUUGCUUCUCUCAUGGUACACUCCUCUUCCCGCCGAGCCCCUUUUCUCCUCAAUCCACAGAGACAAAAUGUAGGACUGGUGCCAACAGUUCAUCAUGAAAGAAAGGACUCACUAAGUCAGGAUCACUAACUAAUACUAAUCUAAUAUAAUAGAAAAUACUAAUAUAAUAGAAAAGAACUGUCUUUUCUGAAUACUUUCCCUGGUUCUGUUGAUACCGCGGGCUUUACGCAAUUAAUCAGAUUAGAUAGAUAUCCUUUCAACAUAUGUCAUCGAAAGGAUCUCGGAGACCUACCAAAGUACGAAAGACAGGAUCUUUCAUAAAACAAAUUCCUAUUCAAAAAGUGCAUAUUGUAACUAGCAUUUGCUGCUAUAGAAUAAACCAAUUUCAAAAUGGGAUAACAUAAUCGAUAGGGCAGGAGUUCUAGUAUCAUAAGCGUUUCCUCAUAGGAACGUCCGCGGAUUUGAUCAAUUACUCUUCGUGCUUUGUCAGCAGACAUAGAUAAAUGUUGACCUAAAGCAUAUACUUCCAUUUUUUUCUUCUUUAGCAUAAGGUUUUCCUUCUCCUACUGAAUCAUAAGCAUCUAGAUUUUUUUUAUUAUUAUUAACAUUAACGACGAGAUCUAUUAUCGCUUUUUGCAUGUCCUCUAAAAUUUAAUGUAGGUGAAAAUUCUCCCAAUUUGUGGCCUACCAUACUAUCCGUUAUAUAAAUAGGCAAAUGCUCUUUUCCAUUAUGGAUAGCAAUAGUAUGAUCAAUCAUUGUGGGUAUAAUGGUAGAUGCUCGGGACCAAGUUACUAAUAUUUCUUUUUCUGCUUUUGUGUUAAGCUUAUCAAUUUUUUUUAAUAAAUGAUUGGCUACAAAGGGAUUUUUUUAGUGAAUGUAUCACAAGCUUACUCCUAUUUUUUUUUUGUAAAGUUUUUGUAAAAACAAAGAAUUAAAUUUGAUUCUCUCCUAUUUACUACGGAGACGAAGAAUCAAAUUAUCACUAUAUUUAUUCCUUCUUCUACUUCUUCUUCCAAGUGCAGGAUAACCCCAAGGGGUUGUGGUUUUUUUUCUACCAAUUGGGGCUCUCCCUUCACCACCCCCAUAGGAAUGGUCUACAGGGUUCAUAACUACUUCUCUUACUACAGGACGCUUACCUAGCCAACGCUUAGAUCCGACUCUAUCCAAACUUUUCUGGUUCACCCCAACAUUCCCCACUUGUUCGACUGUUGCUGAGCAGUUUUUGGAUAUCAAACGGACCUCCCCAGAAGGUAAUUUUAAUGUGGCCGAUUUCCCCUCUUUUGCAAUCAGUUUCGCUACAGCACCCACUGCUCUAGCUAAUUGUCCACCUUUUCUAAAUGUGAUUUCUAUGUUAUGUAUGCCCGUGCCUAAGGGUAUAUCGGUUCAAGUAGAUUUUUCUUUUGAUCAAUCAAAACCCUUCCCAAACUGUACAAAUAAAGUACCACAUGGGUGGAUAUAUAUAUGAAUCCAAAUCUGCCGAAUCACUCAUGUUAUGAUCUUCUACAUCCUGGGUCUUCCUGUUUCGUCAUCUGUCUUAUGUUCUUCAUGUAGCAUUCAAAUCGAAUGACUCUAUGAAAUUACGUCGAUACUUCCAUAUAUUAUGGAUAACGUAGGAGACAUCUCUAUUUUUCCCCCAGGGAAUCUUUAGAAUUCUCACUGCUUAACUUUUAAUUCGCCUUUGACCAUCAAAUGAAAUGUGAAUAACCCAUCCUCAUCUCUUUGAAAGAAAGGGUGCUUCUGGUUCUGUUAGUGCUUGAAAUAAUUUUGUCUUCUCUAUAUUAGUAUAUCUCUAGAGUCAAUAAUUUUAUAUGAGGAACUACUGAACUCAAUCACUUUCUGCCGUUACUCUUUAGUUUUCUGUUGAGGUCUAUCCUGCAGAGGUACUCAAAUUAGAUCAGUGAUUGAUUUCUAGGUUUCAUCGUAAACCUAAUUGGUUAUUUCCAAUUACGUAAAUAAUAGUUCAAACCGCACUCAAAGGUAGGGCAUUUCCCAUUUUUAUAGGAACUUCUGUACCAGAAACAAUGGUAUCUCCAAUUAUAGCCCCUCUGGGAUGUAAAAUAUAUCUCUUCUCACCAUCGCCAUAGUGUAUGAGACAAAUGUCUGCAUUUCGAUUAAGGUUGUAUUCUAUGGUUAUGAUUCUACCAUAUAUGUCUUUUUCAUUCCAUCAAAAAUUGAUUUUACAGUAUAGACGCUUAUGACCUCCCUCUCUAUGCCUUACGGUAAUGAUUCCUCUGGCAUUACAACCUUUACCACAAUGACGCUGUCCAUAGAUCAAAUUAUUUCAUGGAUUGGAUUUCACUUGACUGUCUACGGUUCCAUUGCGUGUGCUCGGGGUAGAAGUUUUGUAUAAAUGUAUCGCCAUGCUAUUAAGUAUUUUUAUUUAAGUUCUUUUCUUUCUAAGAGGUGGAAUAGAAUAACCCGGUUGAAGCGUAAUGAUCAUACGUUUGUAAUGAAUUGUAUGUCCCAUAAUAGGUCCCAUUCUUCUUCUCUUUCCCGGAAGUCGAUGACUAUUCAUAGCUAUUACCUUGACACCAAAGGUACUAUGAUAUGAAUAUACCAUAUCAAUUCGUUAUGUACGAUUUUCACUAAUUACUACUAUUUCAGAUACUUCAUGGUACGGUAUUAUUUUGACUACAAGAUCAAACCAAAUUAUAGAGCAAGAUUUUCUAAGUAAUAGUCAACAAAUUGGAAUUCAUUUAUCAACAGAUUUUUUUCUUCCAUUUGAACUUAUUUCAAUAAUACUUUUAGUUUCUUUAAUAGGUGCAAUUGUUGUAGCUCAGCAAUAAAAAAUUUCUAUUAAAACUUAGAAUUCAAAUAAAAUUCUGUUCUGCCUUAUCACAUUCAUUUUCCUUCAAUUAUAUUUGAAUUUCAGCUGUAUAAAUAGAAAGACUUUAGGUCAAUCUAGUACCAAUAUAUUUCGUUGUUCCAUACUUGUUAUAUACUCGUCAAUUAAAUUGGUUGAAUUGUUUUUCAUAUUAAAAAGAGUCGAGAUUGAUAAGGAGUUGUUUAAUGAUUCUCGAGCAUGUACUUGUUUUGAGUGCCUAUUUAUUUUCUAUCGGUAUCUAUGGAUUGAUCACAAGUCGAAAUAUGGUUAGAGCCCUUAUGUGUCUUGAACUUAUAUUGAAUGCGGUUAAUAUAAAUUUUGUAACAUUUUCUGAUUUUUUUGAUAAUCGUCAAUUAAAAGGAGACAUUUUCUCAAUUUUUGUUAUAGCUAUUGCAGCUGCUGAAGCAGCCAUUGGACUGGCUAUUGUUUCAUCAAUUUACCGUAACAGAAAAUCAACUCGUAUCAACCAAUCAAAUUUGUUGAAUAAUUAGUAUUAAUCAUCUAGAUUCUAAUAUUGAUAAAUCGAUUUUAAUUAGCAUGUUUGCUACGUAAGGUAUGAUCUUGUUUGCAAAACAUAAGAAAUCAAAGUAUUUUGGCCUCUCUCAUAUUUCAUAAACCAAUCCCGAAGGGGGUUGAUUAGAAUAUUAUGAUGACUCAUCGAUUCGUCUGGUAUCUAAAUAUAUGAUUCGUUUCUAAGUUUACUAGAUUGAAAAGUUAUAACAUUGGAAAACGUAUAGACCCAAUGUCAUAUUCAGUAAAGAUUUAUGAUACGUGUAUAGGAUGUACUCAAUGUGUCUGAGCCUGCCCCACCGAUGUAUUAGAAAUGAUACCUUGGGACGGUUGUAAGGCUAAACAAAUUACUUCUUCUCCACGAACAGAGGACUAUGUUAGUUGUAAGAGAUGUGAAUUCGCUUGUCCAACAAAUUUCUUGAGUGUCCGAGUUUAUUUAUCUCAUGAAACAACUCGCAGUAUGGGUCUAGCUUAUUGAUACAUUCGAGAAAACUCUACUCGAAUUCAUUUAAUUUUUUUUACCGACAAACCUGUGCUCGAAAAUAAAACUAUUUUGAGCACGGAUUUUUUUUGGUCCAAGUGUAUCUUGUCUUUACUAAGAAUUAUUUUCCUUGGUUAACAAUAAUUGUUGUUUUUCUGAUAUUUGCGGGUUCUUUAAUUUUCUUUCUUCCCCAUAAAGAAAAUCGGGUAAUUAGGUGGUAUACUCUAUGUAUAUGUAAUUUAAAACUCCUUCUAAUGACUUAUGCAUUUUGUUAAAAUUUCCAAUUGGAUGAUCCAUUAAUACAACUAGUGGAGGACUAUAAAUGGAUCGAUUUUUUUGAUUUCCAUUGGAGAUUAGGAAUAGAUGGACUUUCUAUAGGACCCAUUUUAUUAACAGGAUUUAUUACUACCUUAGCGACUUUGGCGGCUUGGCCAGUUACUCGAGAUUCUCGAUUAUUCCAUUUUCUCAUGUUAGCAAUGUACAGUGGCCAAAUUGGAUCAUUUUCGUCUCGGGACCUUUUACUUUUUUUCAUCAUGUGGGAGUUAGAAUUAAUUCCUGUUUAUCUACUUCUAGCCAUGUGGGGAGGAAAGAAACGUCUGUACUCAGCUACAAAAUUUAUUUUGUACACGGCGGGGGGUUCUGUUUUUCUCUUAAUGGGAGUUUUGGGUGUUGCUUUAUAUGGUUCUAAUGAACCAACAUUAAAUUUUGAAACAUCAGUUAAUCAGUCAUAUCCUGUGGUUUUAGAAAUAAUCUUCUAUAUUGGAUUUUUUAUUGCUUUUGCUGUCAAAUCGCCCAUUAUCCCCCUACACACAUGGUUACCAGAUACCCAUGGAGAAGCACAUUACAGUACUUGUAUGCUUCUAGCCGGAAUCUUAUUAAAAAUGGGAGCGUAUGGAUUAAUUAGAAUCAAUAUGGAAUUAUUACCUCAUGCCCAUUCUAUAUUUUCUCCUUGGUUGAUGAUAAUAGGUACAAUACAAAUAAUCUAUGCAACUUCAACAUCUCUUGGCCAACCAAAUUUAAAAAAAAA
rnacentral:lncRNA from 1 species